rnacentral:tRNA from 1 species
GCGGGCGUAGCUCAAUGGUAGAGCCCCAGGUUCCCAACCUGGUGACGUGGGUUCGAUUCCCAUCGCCCGCUCCA